rnacentral:lncRNA from 1 species
GUUGGUGUAAAAGGCAAACCCGUGUCAUGAGGGAUGGUCAUCAUCUUGUGUGAUCCUUGGAGAUGGCAGGAAGCCCUGGACAUACAUGGUGUGGGGGCUCCUCCAGAGGCUGUUGGGAUCCUCCUGGAUGUGGUGUGGGCAUGGAAGGAAGGCCAGUGGAGACAAUGGAUGAUCUUGUUCUUAGCAGAUCACUGGAUGUGGCAGGGAGUCCUAGGACAUGUGUGGUGUGGGCUUCUUCAGGUGCUGGUGGUGUUGGCAUGAGGAAAGGAGGUAUCUUCGAGGGACAAUCUUCUUCUUGUGCGAUCCUUGGAGAUGCCAUGAGGCCCCUGGACACAUGUGGUGUGGGCUCCUUUGGAGGCUGUUGUAUCCCUUCUGAAUGUGGCGUGGGCAUAGAAGGAAGGCCAGUGGCCACGAGGGACAAUCUUGGUCUUGGGAGAUCCUGGAAAUGAUAGGGAGUCCCUUGAUAUGUGUGGCAUGGGCUCCUUCAGGUGCUAGUGGAUUCCUUAGGAUGGUGGUGUUGGCAUGAAAGGCAGGCUUGUAUCAUGAGGAAUGAUUGUCAUCUUGUCUGAUUCUUGGAGAUGGCAGGAAGCCCCUGGAAACACAUGGUGUGGACUCUUUCACAGGCUGUUGAAACCCUCCUGAAUGUGAGGCCAGAGACAGGCAGACAGCAGAUGUAUUGCAGGGAGCUGGAUGACAUGGCCCUUGGAACCUGUGCACAUGCCUGCCUUUCUGAUGCACGUCCAUGUUUUCUCUGCACCUCCCCGGUGGUGUUGGUAUAAAAAGCAGGCUUACAUCAGCAAGGGAUGAUUGUCGUCUCAUGCGAUCCUGGGAGAUGGCAGAAGUCCCGGGACACAUGGAGUGUGGGCUCUUUCGGAGGCUGUUGGAUCCCUCCUGAAUGUGUUGUGGCCAUGGAAGUAAGGCCAGUGGCUACGAGGGACAGUCUUCAUCUUGGGAGAUCCCUAGAGAGGGCAGGGAGCCCCUUGACAUGUGGAAUGUGAUCUCUGUUGGGUGCUGGUGGAUCCCACAGGUGGUCUGGCAUGGAAGAAGGCCAGAGGCUGCGAUGGAUCAUCUUUGUCUUGGGAGAUUCCUGGAGAUGGUGGGGAGCCCCUGGGCACGUGCAGCAUAUGUGGCGUGGGCUUCUUCAGGUGCUGGUGGAUCCCUCAGGAUGCUUUUCAAGGUUUUUCUAUGAGUUCUGUUAAAGAGUCUGAAAAUGGAGCGUAGAAGACAUGCUUCGAUUUCCAGGAUGGUUGUGUUUUCCAGAGAGGCGGAGUUCAUUGUGGAACCAGCACAGAUUUUCAUACGAAAGUUAUUUCUUUUUAACCUCAAAAAGUGACAGAAUGGAGUGUAUCAUGAAAAAGUCUGACAUCAAAACCUCAAAAUGUGAUAUUGAUUGGGUGAGAUAGAAUUCCAUGGAAUUUCAUUGCCAAACCAGUGAAGUGCUAAUUUUGACAUUUGUACCAGCUAACGUAGCUGUGAAGAAACACACCAAUACACUUCUAAGGACAGCAUAGACCAAGAUCUAGGUUUCAUAUGGAUGAAUUUAUUCUUCCCUUUGAGGCAAGACAAGAAGGAAAGAAAGUAUUGGGAAUAAUGCUGCCCUCCCAUCCUCAAGGGCCAGUGGGAACUCUAAUAUUGAUUGGUUUUCACAGAAUUCCAUGGACUUUAACUGCUGAACCAAUGAUGCACUGAUUUUGUCACUUGUACCAGCUAACGCAUCUGGGAGGCAACAAAACAAUACUCUCCUGAGGUUAAUGUGGACCAAAAACUAGAUUUCAUAUAAAAGAGUUUAUUCCUUCUACUUGAGGUGUGACAUGAAGGAAAGUAAUGGAAAUAAUUCUGCCCUCCCAUUCUCAAGGGCCAGGGGGAAUUCAAAUAUUGAACGGAAGUGAUUUUGGAAUUGCAUGGAAUUCUCACUGCCAUCCCAAAGAAAUGCUGAUCUUGUCACUCUUACCUGUUUCAUUCCCUGGGGGCAGAACAAAAGGACGCACUCCAAAGAUCGGCAUGAACCAAGAACUGGGUUUCAUAUAAAAUAUUUUAUUCUGUCCUCUUGAGAUGUGACAUGAGAAAAGUAUUGAGAAUACUUCUAUCACCUCAUCUUCAAGAAUCCGUAGGAAUUCUCCCAUGGUGGACUUUACGGUUAACCUGAACAGGUCUUGGAAAAAGGACUUUAAACAUUCUCCUGUUCUGUGGAAUAAGUAUACUUUUUUCUGGACAUACACCUUGUCAGUGAGUUCCAUGUGAUACUAGAGUUGCAUAGAUUUUUAACCUUUACGCCAAUGAAGAUCUGAGGCAAACAUUGCCCCUUUUUUAGAAGUUUGCAUUUGUCACUGAUAACUGUAAUAAUUGAUCUUGUUGAAAAGCCUGGGAAAUGAAGAUCUGAUAUGUCACUUUUACCGGCUUCCUCAACUGAAAAAGAAUACAAUGAAACACGCUGAGAAUUUUUGUGCUUUCUCAGUCUUGCUGAUGAUCUUUCUAUGGGCCUGAAGCGUGGAGAGUGCCAGAGAGGCUGAUCCUCAGCAGUGUGGCAGAGGAAAGUUGGGUGCGACUAAGGGGUAUGCGGUGCCCACAUGCCACUGGGUCCUCAGCAGUACCACCUGGUCAACAAAGACAAGGCACCUAGCCCCACAUGAAACUUUAUUCCUUUCCCUUUUGAGAUGUGACAUGAAAGAAAAUAACAGAAAUGAUUUUUCCAUCCCAUCCUCAGGGACCAGUGGGAAUGAAUUUUACCAUCCCACCCUCAAGGGCCAGAUUGGAAGUGAUAUUGGUGGAAGACAACAUUUUGCCGCUUGGAAUUCUCACCUCCACACCAAAGAAGUACUGUUUUUGUCAUUUGCACCAGCUUCUUUCUCCAGGAAAGAUCAAAACGAUGCACUGCAAGUGUGAUUGGUCCAGAUAGCUGCCUUAUCCAACUGCCUCCUUUGGACCACUUCAUCAUGGGACAGCUUGAUGCAAUCUACUUGACAAGACCCUGGAACCCCACACCCCUCAUGGAACCAGUGUCCACCUCCCAGUCACAGUGUGACCCCAGGGAACUCUUGCCUGCUUGCUUUAAACCCACCACUUAAAAGUCUCCACAGAAAACCUGUUUGAAUAGUACCCUUGACCCAAUAAGGGCAUUGGCCCCUGGGUGUCUCUCUCUCUCUCUCUCUCUCUCUCUCCCUCUCUCUCCCUCUCUCUCUCUCGCUCCCUGACCUCUGCGUGUGGACUCCAGGCAUGCCAUAUACCCCUCAGGACCUGAAGCAAAAGAAUGAAUUAAAGAAAACUCCAGAGAAUGAGCUGACAACCUACUCCCUGGUCAGUGGCUCUCCAUGCCUACCUGUGGUCUCUUGGACACCCUUGCAGAAGAUGACUUCCUGGGAACUCUUCUGGGAGUGAAUGUUAUCAGCAAAUUCCCAAAACAACACCCCUUAGACAAAAAGCCUCCUCACCUAUGCAUUGCCUAGACCACCCACUAAAGGUGAUGGCCACAAAGAGGUGGAUUUGUUGAGUUGGUGCCAUUCCUUCUACUGCCAGCUUCACCAAAACAAUGACACAGUCUUCCUUCCGCAUGGAGACUCUUCUCUUUCCUGUGUUGCAGUGGAUGCCUCCUGCAGAUAAGAAAUGCUUAACUGAGAAAUGCUCAUGUUGGGAUAUCAUCGAUGAGACUUUAAUUUGGGCAUGGUGACUGUUUCCCUUGCUGCCACUUGACUCAAUCCCAGGAGCCUCAGUAGAGGAUAUAAUAUUACACAAGAUGCUCAAAAUGGUGGAAUUGCUCAGUGCUCCCAUAAAUAUACAUUUAUAAUUUUCAUUUGCCACAUGGUAAACUGAAAAAUACAGACUAUAUUAAAAAGAAACUGCAUGAUUUUUUUUCAAAAAUUCAAAGCAUAUUUAAAUAAUAUAUAAAUUAAAUGCCCUCCUCUCUUCCAAUUCUGUCCCUAUAGUUUUCCUCUAUUAAGUGAACUACAUGCAUUCUUUUAGUGGAUAGAUGCACACAAACACACAAGCCAUUAUGGGGAAGGAUCCACGUGUGUGGCCAUAUUGUAACACAUUUUUCUGCAAAUCACCUCUUUCAUUUAACAGCCCUUAUUCAAUGGCCUUUUUCUUUUUCAGUAGUACAUACACAUCUGUGUCAUUUGUUGAAUGACGACAUGAAUGUUUUGUAGAUAAAAUAUAAUUAAAUGUUUUAAGCAUUUCUCACUCAUAGAUAUUUAUGUUAGCACCAAAUUUCUGUGCAAUGAACCUCCCUAUAUAUCAGUAAUUUUGCAUUUGUCUAUAAUAUCAUAAUAAAUUACUUAUCAGUUGAAUUACUGGGAUUAAGUAUGUGCACACUUUAUAUUUAUAUUUUGAAAAUUAUUGCAAGAUUGCCUUCAAAAAUGUGGUUAACAACUUUAUCUUCAAAUGGCAAUGAAUGAGAUUGCCAGCUUUCCUACAGCCUCACAGACAAUGGAUUUUAUAAAUAUUUAACAUUUUUGCCAAUGUGAUCACCCAAACUAUUGUCUUAAAUUGUAUCUCUUUUGUUUUUGAGUUUGGUCAUUUUUUCAUGUUUAUUAGCCAUCUGUAUUUUUUAAUUUCUUCUUUAUGUCCAAUUUUGUGGGUGGGAGGAGGAUUUAGUCUCUUCCUGAUUUCGAAGAGCUCAUUUACUAUUUCGGGAAAUAAGAUUUGGAUUGUCAACCAUUAUAGCUAUUUUUUACACACUUUUCAACUUUGUUUUUGUUAUAAGAAUGUGUAUGAUUGUUACAUGUCCAAGUAUAACCAUGUUCGCUUUUAUGGCUUCUGAGUUUCAUGUCAUUUUUGGAAAGAUAUAUAUAUUGAGUCCAUAAAACCCUUCACCUAUGUUAAAUUCUAAUUCUUUUGUGUUUUUUUAAUUCAAAUUCUUAAAUCAUGAGAAAUUUUUUUGUUUUGAAAUCUUAAAGUUGCCAAGUUACUUGCCAUUACUUGCGAUUAUUUGCCAAUAAUUGCCCAUUUAUCUGUACCGCCAUCUUGCGCAUAUGCUGUACUCUCAUCUGUGACUGGCUCCAUUUUUGUUCUGUGGAUUUGUGUGUCUCUUCUUCUGCCUCCUGUCUCGUGUCUGCUCGUUGGAAGAAAUUACAGUUUAGACUGCAAUUUCAUCAACUUUAAUAAAUCAAUUGAGGGGAGAAUUGGUUUUUAAAAAUAUUAAGUAAGUCUUCGUAUCCAAGGACAAGGUAUGUCUUUUCUUAUUCAAUAAUUUUAAUUACUGUUAAUAUUUUCACUGUGGUGAUGGGAGUUUUUCUUUUAAUUUAUUUUCUUGUUCAUUUUUUGUAUCUAAAGUUUUUGUUUUGUUUUGUUUUGGGGGUAAGUUGUCACCUUACUGUUUCUUGUUGCUUUUCAGAUUUUUUCAAAGUAUAGACUAAAUCCUUCACAAAUAUUUAAAGUUUUUAUUUUCCCCCUUCAUAUUGAUCCUGAUUUUAGUUAUGUUGACAAAGUCCACAGACUGUUACUAUCAGAACACUUGAACAGUUAUGGAAAUAUUACCUACCCUUGAUUUAAUCAGAGUUUAAUGGUAUGCUUCUUUGGUUUGACUGGCACAUUGUCGCUGGUCAUUUCCUCCCAAAGACCACCAGAAAGAGCUAUGAUCAAGCAAAGCUGAGUUUGUUAAACUUACCUGCAGCAAGGGAAAACACCACCUUGAUAGGGUUUAAUAAUGUUUCAAAAUCAAGAAAUGAGGCUUUGGGGUCUGGGCAGGGAACUAAUUAGAAAUGGGCAAAAUUUGUCAUGCAAUACCUUGUGGGAAAGUGAGAUGAGGUUCUUAAUGUGAGUAUUGAUGGUGAAAUCAUUUUCUAGGUGAGCUGUUUGCCUAUAUAAAGAUGUUAUCAAUGACAGAAGAACUAUUUGCCUAGAUAAACAAACUGAAUUUAUUUAUUGGUUUACAGUUUUAUCUUGCUGGGCAGGACUCUGCUGGGGGUGGUAUCAGGUCUUAUUCCCAAUAGGUAAGUUAUUUGGAUAUGGGUGGUCUUAAUCAUCAAUGUGUAAAAUGCUGAUUUUAAGUGCGAAAUACUUUGUCUACCAUGUUAGGAAAGUCUGCCACCUUUUAUCUUUUUUAAGGAAUUUUAAUCAAAACCAGGUGGUAGAUAUAAUCAAAUUGUUUUGCAGAAUCAAUUUUCCUGUUCUCUUUAAAGACUUUUAUCACUGUGAAUUAAUUUACUAUUAUUGCAACUUCCUUUAAUUCCUUGAAUGAACAGACCCUACUGGUUUUAAAAAUGUUUUAUUCUUUUAAUUUACUACUUAAUUGUGGGUAUUUUAAUUUGAUUUGGAAUUUUUACAAGUAUACAACUAAGUGAAAUUGAUCUGUGAUUUUUCUUUUUUGUGCUAUUUUUGUCAUGUUUUGAUAUCAGAUAUUCUGGUUGUGUUAAAAUAAUUUUGAGGAUUUUCUUCUUAUACUGUGUUCUAGAGUGGGUAAAAAAGCCCUAGUCUCACUAUCAGUGUUUAAGUGAACACAUCAGUGACAUCAUCUGGACUCUCCUUUGUUUUUGCUGGUUUGGAGUUAGGACAUCUAGAAGUUUUUUUCUUUUUUUCCUUUUUUUGUAUGGUUAUUGCUUGUUCUUUGUUUUGUGUCAAAUUUAACCUGUUUUCUCUUAGCAAAUCACAGCUCAUGCAGAUUUUCAAACACAUUAGCCUUGUUAUACAAAGUGUUCUUUCAUCAUUCUAUUAAAUUUCCAUUUUCAUUCCAGUUAUAGUUAUUUCUGCUGUGCCUUUGUUAAUGAAUAAGUUUAAACAGUGGAUGUUUAGCAUCACUAGCCUUCCCCUUCCAUCUCCCUUAAUCAGGACCUUGGUAUAAUUUAUCAGGUAUUUUUUAAGGUUCUAAUUUACUUAUAUAUAUUGUUUCUGUAUUCUUUUGUUUCUUUUCUUAAUAAAUUCUUAAA